rnacentral:rRNA from 1 species
UUGUUACCUUUAGUUGCUUCGGCGGGCCGGCCGUCUUGACCAACUGGUCUCGCUGGCCGCCGGUCGUGGGUUUCCACGAUUGGAGAGCUCGCCCGCCGAUGGCCCAACACAAAACUCUGGUACUAAACACUGUCGUCUAAAUACCUUGAUAUUAAUCAAAAACAAAACUUUCAACAACGGAUCUCUUGGUUCUGGCAUCGAUGAAGAACGCAGCGAAAUGCGAUAAGUAAUGCGAAUUGCAG